CCUACGGGUGUCAGCAGUGAGGAAUAUUGGUCAAUGGGCGCGAGCCUGAACCAGCCAAGUAGCGUGAAGGAUGACUGCCCUACGGGUUGUAAACUUCUUUUAUAAAGGAAUAAAGUGAGGCACGUGUUCCUUUUUGUAUGUACUUUAUGAAUAAGGAUCGGCUAACGUCGUGCCAGAAGCAGCGGUAAUACGGAGGAUCCGAGCGUUAUCCGGAUUUAUUGGGUUUAACGGGAGCGUAGAUGGGUUGUUAAGUCAGUUGUGAAAGUUUGCGGCUCAACCGUAAAAUUGCAAUUGAUACUGGCAGCCUUGAGUACAGUUGAGGUAGGAGGAAUUCGUGGUGUAGCAGUGAAAUGCUUAGAUAUCACGAAGAACUCCGAUUGCGAAGGCAGCCUACUAAACUGCCACUGACAUUGAUGCGCGAAAGUGUGGGUAUCAAACAGGAUUAGAUACCCGGGUAGUC
rnacentral:rRNA from 1 species